UUGUUGGCACAGAACCUUGUAAAUUCAUUGUUUGCAACUGCGGGUUCAUUUGAUUUUCAUGAGACUGCACUUGACGAAUUUGAGACUGCGGCUGCUGCAUGGAGUGCAUAUGAGGUGGGGGGAGCUGCCCUUGUUGCAGAGGAGGACCUUGCUUCCUCGGUCUAUUUGUAUUAAUAAAAUUUACUAUCUGCUUCUCA